UACAGAGGUCCCAAGCGUUACUGAGAAUCACUGGGUUUAAAGGGUGCGUAGGUGGUCCGUUAAGUCAGUUGUGAAAUCCCCGGGCUCAACCCGGGAACUGCUUCUGAUACUGGCGGCCUUGAGGCCAGUAGGGGUCACUAGAACUGACGGUGGAGCGGUGAAAUGCGUAGAUAUCGUCAGGAAUGCCGGUGGUGAAGACGGGUGACUGGGCUGGUUCUGACACUGAGGCACGAAAGCGUGGGGAGCGAACGGG
rnacentral:rRNA from 1 species